rnacentral:rRNA from 1 species
UGAAGAUUAAUACCUUAUGGUAUUAAGGAUUCGCAUGAAUUCUUAAUUAAAGAUUUAUCGGUAAAAGAUGGCUAUGCGUCCUAUUAGCUAGAUGGUAAGGUAACGGCUUACCAUGGCGACGAUAGGUAGGGGUCCUGAGAGGGAGAUCCCCCACACUGGUACUGAGACACGGACCAGACUCCUACGGGAGGCAGCAGUGAGGAAUAUUGGGCAAUGGAGGCAACUCUGACCCAGCCAUGCCGCGUGCAGGAAGAAGGCCCUAUGGGUUGUAAACUGCUUUUAUACAGGAAGAAACACUGGUAUGUAUACCAGCUUGACGGUACUGUAAGAAUAAGGACCGGCUAACUCCGUGCCAGCAGCCGCGGUAAUACGGAGGGUCCGAGCGUUAUCCGGAAUCAUUGGGUUUAAAGGGUCCGCAGGCGGUCGAUUAAGUCAGAGGUGAAAUCCCAUAGCU